GCUGGAUGUGGUGUGUGCCUGUAGUCCCAGCUACUCGGGAGGCUGAGGCAGGAGGAUCACUUGAGUUCAGGAGUUCUGGGCUGUAGUGUGCUGUGCUGAUUGGGUGUCUGCACUAAGUUUGAUAUCAAUAAGGUGACCUCCCAGGAGCCGGGGACCACCAGGUUGCCCAAGGUGCUGAUCAGUGGGACUGCACCUGUGAAUAGCCACUGCACUCCAGCCUGGGCAGCAUAGUGAGUUUCUA
ensembl:misc_RNA Metazoa_SRP Metazoan signal recognition particle RNA